UCUUAAUAAAGCCUAAUUUUGGAGAAGAGUGGCAAUUCCCUGUGUAGAUGCUUUGCCCUGUAGUUCUAUUGGAGCUCAGCAAUUUGGAUUCAGCCUGAGGCUUACUUUAUCAAUAAGGCAGGAGAUAUCAGCCAGGAGCCUUGUGUCAACAGCAGCAGCCAGAGUGGCUUUUUGGAAGGAAAGACCAGUGCUAAUUUUCCCCUAUCAGAGCUGUCACCAUCCCUCUAGAUGAAGGCUCCUGCCCUACUUGCUACCCGGUCUUAGGAUAAGUAAAAGUUAGAAGGGUUACGGUUAAAGAACAACUGAUUCCUAUUCUCAAUUUGAAUUUGCCUGUGAUGUUAUACACUGGACUAAGC
rnacentral:lncRNA from 1 species